UAAUACAGAGGGUGCGAGCGUUGUCCGGAAUCACUGGGCGUAAAGGGCGCGUAGGUGGCUGUGUAAGUCGGGGGUGAAAUGCUGCGGCUCAACCGCAGCGCUGCCUCCGAGACUGCACGGCUUGAGCACGGUAGAGGCCGAUGGAAUUCCCGGUGUAGCGGUGGAAUGCGUAGAGAUCGGGAAGAACACCGAUGGCGAAGGCAGUCGGCUGGGCCGUUGCUGACACUGAGGCGCGACAGCGUGGGGAGCAAACAGGAUUAGAUACCCUGGUAGUCCACGCCGUAAACGAUGGGCACUAGGCGUCGGGGGGAGCGACCCUCCCGGUGCCGUCGCUAACGCACUAAGUGCCC
rnacentral:rRNA from 1 species